CGUGGAGACAGGUGGUGCAUGGCUGUCGUCAGCUCGUGUCGUGAGAUGUUGGGUUAAGUCCCGCAACGAGCGCAACCCUUACCCCUUGUUGCCAUCAGGUCAUGCUGGGCACUCUAGGGGAACUGCCCCGGUCAACGGGGAGGAAGGUGGGGACGACGUCAAGUCAUCAUGCCCCUUACGUCCUGGGCUACACACGUGCUACAAUGGCCGGUACAAAGGGAUGCAAAAACGCGAGGUGGAGCCAAACCCAGAAAGCCGGUCUAAGUUCAGAUUGGAGUCUGCAACUCGACUCCAUGAAGGAGGAAUCGCUAGUAAUCGCGCAUCAGCACGGCGCGGUGAAUACGUUCCCGGGCCUUGUACACACCGCCCGUCACACCACGAAAGCCAGCUGUACUCGAAGUCGCUGAG
rnacentral:rRNA from 1 species